GAGAGGGCCUCUCGUUUACGCUAUACAGGUAGAGUAAACAAACCACAACAUGCUGCGAUAAUCAAAAGUUAUGGUAGUGAGCGAUGUUGGAAAAGGCUGCUAAAGCAGUCAGGU
rfam:Niabella sp. BS26, complete genome.